ACCACCACGCCCAGCUAAUUUUUUUGUAUUUUUAGUAGAGAGAGGGUUUCACUAUGUUGGCCAGGCUGGUUUUGAAUUCCUGACCUCAGGUGAUCCACCUGCCUUGGCCUCCCAGAGUGCUAGGAUUACAGGUAUCAGCCACUACCUGGCCACCUUUUUUGUUUUCUGUGUUAUCUUCAUAGUUGUCUUUCUUUGGUUGUUAAGUUUAAUCCUUGAAUUACUUUGAGUUCAUGUACAGCAACAUCCUCUCAGGAGCCACAUUUUAAUGCGUGUGGGAGAUUCUUCACAGUCAAGCUCCCAGUUGCUCUUGAUCCUGGGGCCAAGAUUUCAGUCAUUGUGGAAACAGUCUACACCCAUGUGCUUCAUCCGUAUCCAACCCAGAUCACCCAGUCAGAGAAACAGUUUGUGGUGUUUGAGGGGAACCAUUAUUUCUACUCUCCCUAUCCAACGAAGACACAAACCAUGCGUGUGAAGCUUGCCUCUCGAAAUGUGGAGAGCUACACCAAGCUGGGGAACCCCACGCGCUCUGAGGACCUACUGGAUUAUGGGCCUUUCAGA
rnacentral:lncRNA from 10 species